GGGGGAGCGCCGGAUCCUUGUCUGUGUCCCCAGCGCCCUUGGCUCCAGGGCCUGCACCGCUGGAAUCGCGCUGCCAGGACCACAGUCCCCU
rnacentral:pre_miRNA from 1 species